rnacentral:rRNA from 1 species
CCUACGGGCGGCAGCAGUAGGGAAUCUUUCACAAUGGGCGAAAGCCUGAUGGAGCAACGCCGCGUGCAGGAUGAAGGCCUUCGGGUUGUAAACUGCUUUUAUAAGCGAGAAAUAUGAUGGUAACUUAUGAAUAAGGAUCGGCUAACUACGUGCCAGCAGCCGCGGUCAUACGUAGGAUCCGAGCAUUAUCCGGAGUGACUGGGUGUAAAGAGUUGCGUAGGUGGCAUAAUAAGUAGCUAGUGAAAUCUGGUGGCUCAACCAUUCAGACUAUUAGCUAAACUGUUAAGCUCGAGACCGUUAGGGGUAACUGGAAUUUCGAGUGUAGGAGUGAAAUCCGUAGAUAUUAGAAGGAACACCAAUAGCGUAGGCAGGUUGCUGGGACGGUUCUGACACUAAGGCACGAAAGCGUAGGGAGCAAACGGGAUUAGAUACCCCUGUAGUC